rfam:Mesocricetus auratus contig027620, whole genome shotgun sequence.
UGACAUUUUCUGAUAUGACUGCCACAUAUGUUACAUCAUUGAUUUCCAGGGUUGAUAAAGAUAAUCUGGUUGGCUAGGCAAGACUCCUCUUCCUCCCUCAAUUCUCCAUCUCUCUGGAAGCUGCAUACUUGGCCAAAGACGAUGGCCUUUCCUAAGUGGAGUAGGAUCUGUCUUCAGUCAACUGUAUGUGGAUAGCUGUGAUCUCCUGCUAUCCACUUUGGAAAUUAUAAAUAAACUGCUAUGGGCAUAAGUUUUUGUUGCUUUUGGUGUACAUCAAGGAGC